rnacentral:rRNA from 1 species
CCGGCGACCGGCGCACGGGUGAGUAACACGUAUGCAACCUGGCCGUCACAGGGGGAUAACCGGUAGAAAUGCCGCCUAAUACCCCAUGACACCCUUUAGGGACAUCCCUGGGGGGUCAAAGGGAGCGAUCCCGGUGGUGGAUGGGCAUGCGGCGCAUUAGCUAGUCGGCGGGGUAACGGCCCACCGAGGCGACGAUGCGUAGGGGUUCUGAGAGGAAGGUCCCCCACACUGGUACUGAGACACGGACCAGACUCCUACGGGAGGCAGCAG